rnacentral:rRNA from 1 species
UACGAAGGGGGCUAGCGUUGCUCGGAAUUACUGGGCGUAAAGCGCACGUAGGCGGAUUGUUAAGUCGGGGGUGAAAUCCUGGAGCUCAACUCCAGAACUGCCUUCGAUACUGGCGAUCUCGAGUUCGGGAGAGGUGAGUGGAACUGUGAGUGUAGAGGUGAAAUUCGUAGAUAUUCGGAAGAACACCAGUGGCGAAGGCGGCUCACUGGCCCGGUACUGACGCUGAUGUGCGAAAGCGUGGGGAGCAAACAGG